GAUGCUCUAUGCGUGAGCUGGCCUGGCUGGGGCCCCAAAGCCCCGUCGUCUGAGCUUUGCUGACGCAGCUUUUUCUUCGCUUAGCAAAAGCUAUAUGCUUUCCUUGACGGUCUUUGGUCGCAUCCGCUGUUACUGAGUCAGUUACGAACCUACAGUAGGACUCUGCCAUCGCCGCUCCUUUUGCGAGAAACAAUUGACUCCCCACGAAACCACUUGUAAGUGUAACAUCCGACAUGGGUCAGAGAGGGUCAGAAUAUAUAAAACACGUGAAGGUGAAGGAGGACAUCAAGGAGCGCCAACAACAUUGUCUUUCAUCGUAAAAAGGGCCUCCAGAUCGAACUUGACUUGAAGGAGACCCAGGCGGAGAAGAAAGGAGGCGGAGAGAAGAGAAAAACAUCGUAAGCAUCAGCUCCAUCCAGUGAUCCACAUUCUGCCCAAAGCUUGGACACACCACUUCGGUGGCUUGGUUUUAUUGACUUGACUUGAUUCACUUUUCAUACCAAAAUUUGAUUGCAUAAAAGAACCACUAAUCUAUGUAAUCUAAUAGCUGUAAGCUGCCGAUGAAGAUGAACCCAGAUAACACAUAGGUUAAUACAGGCCCGUCGACUCGGAAUACAUUUUUUAAUUGUCGUUGGGUGAACCGAUUAAAAGAAAAAUUUGACCCUGACAAAACAAAAAUCGUGAUGCAAUUUUGUGGGGAUGUGACAAUUUCGCAAAAUGCCACAAAAAGCACA